UAUCCUGGAGGUAUAUUGCCAUAAUCUUGCAGCAAUCCAGUGGGAGGCCAUUAAUAUCUUAAAAAUAGUGAUUCAUCACGGCUCAAAGUCUAUUCUACACCCAUUGCCUUAACAGUUAUGAAUCAAACAUGAUAAAAUAUUCAAAUUUUAAAAAAUUAUAUCUAAUGCUCAUUAUCAAACGUAUUAAAUGAUUAAAAAAAAUUAUGAAAUUAUAUCUGAUACAUUGGGGAUAUAAUAUAUGUUUGAUUAUGUCUAUGUUUGUCCUUUGUUUUCUCACAGGGUGUACGUAACACCCCAAAAUUUUAAAUUU
rnacentral:misc_RNA from 1 species